rnacentral:lncRNA from 1 species
AAAUCAAAUCUAUGCUGCUGCUCAUCUGCAGGAUCCGAUGUCGGAUCGCCGGGAGGAGUACCUGCUGGAUGUGAUGUAGCGCCAGGAGGGGUGACCAAGGUAUCGUCUGCAGCAUCGGGAUCAGGAGCAGGAAGUGGCUGCUGCUGAGACGUCAAAACAUGUCGGUCUGUAGCAGGCGCAGGAUCAGAGGAAGAAGUACCAGCACGGN